UACCGUUGACGUCCGCUUCACCCAGCUCGAUUUUCAGUCUUGUAAUAAUAAUUGAGAACUCCAAUGAACUGAGAGUUACUAAUCGCUCCAUGAGUCUGAAGCGUGCAAAAAUUUAGGUCGCAGCUACACAAAUUUACACGCUGUUCUAUAUUCUAUAUUCUAUAUUAUAUUUAGGUCGCAGCUACCCGUGAAUCUCCUAUUUUGAAAAGGUCACUGCUUUUUUAUUUCAUUCUAUAUUCUAUAUUAUAUUUUUGUAAUAUUCAGUCUCGUUUAAUUGCUUUCAGACUUAAUGUUAGAUAAUUGUUUACAUUUUCUACAAUUCAGUCUGGACUAAUUGCUUUGGGACUAAUGUUGGAGAUAUCCAUAUGUAUCUGCGUCUAAGCAUUUUUCAUUUGUAUUUAUCAUGUUUUGUCAAUAGGGAUACUUGUUUCUUGUAAGUCUGUUAGCAUGUUUGAACCAUAGCAAUUGGCGGACGUGUGUAAAACUGCAGUAUGAUGGAUUCCACUAUUCAUCAACCGAAAUUAUGGCGCGCUUCAAUCGUGGCUACGCUGAUGGGGAACUGAUCCGUUAUGGUGUGCUUGGAUCGUGGCUGUGUGGAGAUGUGUGGAACUCAUUGGUUAUAAUGGUGAUGCUGAUGGAACUGAUUUGUUACCAAGGUUUAAGUUUUCGCUACCGUUGGACGGCCUGACUGGUACUUUGCCCUGUUGACUGUUUGAGAACGUACUGCCCAGGUUUACUUAAUACUUGCUGCUUUUUGACGGUACUGUACAUAUUGUUCGACAAUUUAUUUCUUGGCAGUUCAAUUCGUCCAUUUAGAAUUUCUAGGGGCACGAGAGCAUGUGUUACCCUGGAGAUCAAUUUCAUGCUGCUUUUUGUAAUUGAUCAUGCUGCUUUUUG
rnacentral:lncRNA from 7 species